CUCCAGACUCCUACGGGAGGCAGCAGUGGGGAAUAUUGCACAAUGGGGGAAACCCUGAUGCAGCAACGCCGCGUGAGUGAGGAAGUAUUUCGGUAUGUAAAGCUCUAUCAGCAGGGAAUAGAAAAGAAGGUACCUGAAAAAGAAGCCCCGGCUAACUACGUGCCAGCAGCCGCGGUAAUACGUAGGGGGCAAGCGUUAUCCGGAUUUACUGGGUGUAAAGGGAGCGUAGACGGAAAGGCAAGUCAGAAGUGAAAGCCCAGGGCUCAACCCCGGGACUGCUCUUGGAACUGCGCGGCUGGAGUGCAGGAGGGGCAGGCGGAAUUCCUGGUGUAGCGGUGAAAUGCGUAGAUAUCAGGAGGAACACCGGUGGCGAAGGCGGCCUGCUGGACUGCGACUGACGGUGAGGCGCGAAAGCGUGGGGAAGCAAACAGGAUUAGAUACCCUAGUA
rnacentral:rRNA from 1 species